rnacentral:rRNA from 1 species
AUUGAUCGCUGGCGGCAUGCCUUACACAUGCAAGUCGAACGGCAGCACGGGUGCUUGCACCUGGUGGCGAGUGGCGAACGGGUGAGUAAUACAUCGGAACGUACCUUAUCGUGGGGGAUAACGCAGCGAAAGCUGUGCUAAUACCGCAUACGCCCUGAGGGGGAAAGCGGGGGAUCGUAAGACCUCGCGCGAUUAGAGCGGCCGAUGCCUGAUUAGCUUGUUGGUGGGGUAAAAGCCCACCAAGGCGACGAUCAGUAGCUGGUCUGAGAGGACGAUCGGCCACACUGGGACUGAGACACGGCCCAGACUCCUACGGGAGGCAGCAGUGGGGAAUUUUGGACAAUGGGGGCAACCCUGAUCCAGCAAUGCCGCGUGAGUGAAGAAGGCCUUCGGGUUGUAAAGCUCUUUUGUCAGGGAAGAAACACCGGCUCUAACACAGUCCGGGAAUGACGGUACCUGAAGAAUAAGCACCGGCUAACUACGUGCCAGCAGCCGCGGUAA